rnacentral:rRNA from 1 species
AGGGCCUACGGGGGGCAGCAGUGGGGAAUAUUGCACAAUGGGGGAAACCCUGAUGCAGCGACGCCGCGUGAGUGAAGAAGUAUUUCGGUAUGUAAAGCUCUAUCAGCAGGGAAGAAAAUGACGGUACCUGACUAAGAAGCCCCGGCUAACUACGUGCCAGCAGCCGCGGCAAUACGUAGGGGGCAAGCGUUAUCCGGAUUUGCUGGGCGUAAAGGGAGCGUAGUCGGCCAGACAAGUCCGCAGUGAAAGCCCAGGG